AUUGAACGCUGGCGGCAGGCUUAACACAUGCAAGUCGAACGAGUGGCGGACGGGUGAGUAAUGUCUGGGAAACUGCCUGAUGGAGGGGGAUAACUACUGGAAACGGUAGCUAAUACCGCAUACCAUCAGAUGUGCCCAGAUGGGAUUAGCUAGUAGGUGGGGUAAUGGCUCACCAAGGCGACGAUCCCUAGCUGGUCUGAGAGGAUGACCAGCCACACUGGAACUGAGAAAGGGUCCAGACUCCUACGGGAGGGAGCAGUGGGGAAUAUUGCACAAUGGGCGCAAGCCUGAUGCAGCCAUGCCGCGUGUGUGAAGAAGGCCUUCGGGUUGUAAAGCACUUUCAGCGGGGAGGCGUUACUCGCAGAAGAAGCACCGGCUAACUCCGUGCCAGCAGCCGCGGUAAUAC
rnacentral:rRNA from 1 species